CCUACGGGAGGCAGCAGUAAGGAAUAUUGGUCAAUGGACGCAAGUCUGAACCAGCCAUGCCGCGUGAAGGAUUAAGGUCCUCUGGAUUGUAAACUUCUUUUAUCUGGGACGAAAAAAGGCGAUUCUUCGUCACUUGACGGUACCAGAUGAAUAAGCACCGGCUAACUCCGUGCCAGCAGCCGCGGUAAUACGGAGGGUGCAAGCGUUAUCCGGAUUCACUGGGUUUAAAGGGUGCGUAGGCGGGCAGGUAAGUCAGUGGUGAAAUCCUAGAGCUUAACUCUAGAACUGCCAUUGGUACUAUCUGUCUUGAAUAUUGUGGAGGUAAGCGGAAUAUGUCAUGUAGCGGUGAAAUGCUUAGAUAUGACAUAGAACACCUAUUGCGAAGGCAGCUUACUACGCAUAUAUUGACGCUGAGGCACGAAAGCGUGGGGAUCAAACAGGAUUAGAUACCCUGGUAGUCCACGCCCUAAACGAUGAUUACUCGACAUUUGUGAUACACUAUAAGUGUNUGAGNGAAGANAUAAGUAAUACACCNGGAGUACGACCGCGAGUAGUAACGUACGAAGAAGUAGUAGACGACGAGACGACGCGACGGACGGACGACGACGGGAGGGUAGGAG
rnacentral:rRNA from 1 species